rnacentral:rRNA from 1 species
CCUACGGGAGGCUGCAGUGGGGAAUAUUGGACAAUGGGGGGAACCCUGAUCCAGCCAUGCCGCGUGUGUGAAGAAGGCCCUCGGGUUGUAAAGCACUUUCAGUGAGGAAGAACGCCUGGUGGUUAAUACCCAUCAGGAAAGACAUCACUCACAGAAGAAGCACCGGCUAACUCCGUGCCAGCAGCCGCGGUAAUACGGAGGGUGCGAGCGUUAAUCGGAAUUACUGGGCGUAAAGCGCGCGUAGGUGGCUUGAUAAGCCGGUUGUGAAAGCCCCGGGCUCAACAUGGGAACGGCAUCCGGAACUGUCAAGCUAGAGUGCAGGAGAGGAAGGUAGAAUUCCCGGUGUAGCGGUGAAAUGCGUAGAGAUCGGGAGGAAUACCAGUGGCGAAGGCGGCCUUCUGGACUGACACUGACACUGAGGUGCGAAAGCGUGGGUAGCAAACAGGAUUAGAUACCCUAGUAGUC